AGUUAAAAAGCUCGUAGUUGGAUUUCUGGGAGGGUGCCAAUGUCCGUCGUAGUACGUGCUGCAGCGGCGCCCUUCCAUCCUUCUGUUAACGACUUUGGGCAUUCAUUUGCUGGAGUCGGGCUCAGAUAUUUUACCUUGAGAAAAUUAGAGUGUUUCAGGCAGGCCAAGCCGGAAUACAUUAGCAUGGAAUAAUGGAAUAGGACUACGGUCUCUUUGUUGGUUUGAGGGACUGCAGUAAUGAUUAAUAGGGAUAGUUGGGGGCAUUAGUAUUUAAUUGUCAGAGGUGGAAUUCUCGGAUUUGUUAAAGACUAACUUAUGCGAAAGCAUUUGCCAAGGAUGUUUUCAUUAAUCAAGAACGAAAGUUAGGGGAUCAAAGACGAUCAGAUACCGUCCUAGUCUUAACCAUAAACUAUGCCGACUCGGGAUCGGGGGCGCGAACUAUCCGCCUUCGGCACCGUAUGAGAAAUCAAAGUCCUUGGGUUCUGGGGGGAGUAUGGUCGCAAGGCUGAAACUUAAAGGAAUUGACGGAAGGGCACCACCAG
rnacentral:rRNA from 1 species